rnacentral:tRNA from 1 species
GCCUUCGUGGUCUAGUGGUUAUGACGCUCGCCUUCUCAGCGAGAGGUCGCAGGUUCGAAUCCCGUCGGAGGCA